CAGCCAUCGAUGAGGAGCAAAGGCAAGGAAACAUGGGACAGGAUGUCAUUGCAGUACAAGUAACUGUGCCUGAACACUGUGAGCAGAGGGGAGAGAACUCAACUGCCAUUGUGGCAGUGGAAAACAUCAUUGUAUAUCCUUGCAUUGUGUCGAAUAGUACUUCUUUUUAUCUGUGCUGAUCCUUCUCCCAAUCAAUUUCACUAGAGGACCCCUUUCUAUUAUUAAAUGAGAAAUGGAUGUGGGGGGGGGAUCUCUGCUCAUUUUCUCCACAGCAUUCAUGAUUCUCUCAGCCUCUCUUAUGCCCUCCAUUGUUUAAAGUUUUUUUAACAAAGGGGGGAAACAGCUCCAAAUGCUUUCGAUGAAUCCAAAACCACGUAAAUCACAAGGCGCUGGUAAUUAGCCCAUGCUAAUGACACUGUAGUUAAGACUGUUUGAAUAUUUUCAUUAUAAUGCCUACCCCCUUUUUCGUCGGAAAUGAAAAGACUGGAGAUAAAUAUUGGUUGUUGUUCACAUGAAGAAAAUUUGCAUGCAAAGGACCAGAACCACACUCAGUCUCUCUGGUUUUAAUCACAGUCAUUGAAAUCACUGCUAAAAACGAGAGCAAGGAAAAAAUCACCUCGACAUCUUAGGCUUCAUUUUAACUACCGUAUUUUUCACACUAUAACACGCAUCCGACCAUAACACGCACGUAGUUUUUAGAGGAGGAAAACAAGAAAAAAAAUAUUCUAAACGAAACAGUGGAUGUAUGAUUUUUGUAGUUCAUGCUGUGGCCACAGACAUGUGAUCUGACAGGGAGUUUGGAGUAGCCCAAUGCAAAAAUCCUGAGGAUCCAUGUGGAUCCAUGCUUUGUAAACACGUUUUGUACCACUGAGGCCCCAGGCAACAGUUGGUGCAUGAUUUUUUUGGUGCAAGAUGUAGCCAUGGACAUGCUAUGUGAUCUGAUGGUGAAUUUGGGGUGACCCAGUGCAAAAAUCCUGAGGAUCCAUGUGGAUCCAUGCUUUGUAACCACGUUUUAAGUGGGGAGGGAAGGAAAAGCACUCAAGGGACAAGGAGCACGCGUGGGGUGUGUGGAGAAGGAUGCUGCUAAUAAUGCAGAAGAGGGGUAUAAGAGGAGAAGGCUCCUCUCCUCUCCCACUUUGCUCCUUUAAAGAAGCAGGCUCUCUGUCCCCCUCUCCUCCCCACUCAGCGGCUCUUCUCCCGGCUCUUCUCCCGCUUUGCCGUUUCAAAGCGAGCCACAGAGGAGGGAAGGAAGGGGAACCAUGGAUCCUCUGCUCACGACUGCAGCAGAUCCCCCCCCGCCACCCGUAGGCAUUCCCUCCAUAACACGCACAGACAUUUCCCCUUACUUUCUAGGACGAAAAAAGUGAGUGUUACGGUGCAAAAAAUACGAUAGUUUUUUAAUGCAGUUUUCAAUACAGCUGAAAGAAAUAGCUAUAGAGAAGCAGUAACGAUUGUCCGCCCCUCUUUCUUGGUGAAAACAGAGCAAGAGACUGAGAGUCGCUUCAUGCAUUAUGUUUUUGGCGCACACCUUAAAACAUAAGCAUACUUCUUUAAAAAGUGAGUAUGACAAAAACAUGGGCUUUAUACAGAUUCCACACCUUAAAGAGUCGUUAUUUGCUGCUGCUUCCUUGAUGAGUUCAAGAUGCUUUUCUGCAAAAACAUGUGAAAUGGAUAGCUAUAUUUCCUUGUUUGUGGGAUCCAAAGAGAGGAAACAAAAGAGCAGAGAAUAGCAAAUGAAAGCUUUGUUUCUUUUGUACACCAAUAAAAUGGUUGACAUGGAAGUCAGUGUGGUUAAUUCAAGUCAAUAGAAAGCUGCACUAGACCUACAGAGACCCAGAGAUUCAAGUAUCUUCUCAGCCAUGAAGCUCAGCUGAGGUGACUUUGGCCCAGUCAGUUUCCCUCAGCCAAAUUCACCUCACAGUUAUUUUGAGGACACAUUAUGAAACUCUAAGGGGACAGGAGGGCAGGAAACACCUCAUAAACAACCCUGAGCAGCUUGGAGGGUGGGCAGAAUAAAUAUUGUAAUAAUUAAAUGACCAAAGGAAGGAAAUGUGAUUGUUUUCUGUAAUGGAACAGAUCUUAUGUAAUGCAGGUUAUAGUAUGAAGAGGAAUUUCUCUCUCAGCAACUUAUGUGCUGCAGGCAAAACAAUAUAUCCUUUUUCCUAUGUUAUUGAGUGCUAAGUCUUUUCUGCCUUAACCACUUGGCAAGUUCACCAUCUGUAUGAAAUAAUCUGUGGCAGGUGACCUCCAAUAGGAAAAUCCUUGCAGCUAGAGCUGCUUUUUAAGGAGCAGCUUGUCUCAGACCCUCCAAGUGCCCCUAUUUUCCAGGGACAUCCCUAAUGUCUACAAGCUGUCCCAGUUUCCGAUUUGAUCCCAGAAUGUCCCACUUUUCCUUAGUAAGUCCCUAUUUUCAUUGGAGGGUUUGGUAGAAUGUCCCUAUUUUCAUUGGGAAAAUGUUGGAGGGUAUAUGGUGUUAUCUGCCAACUGAAGGCAGUCUUGUAUAGGGAAGUUUUUUUAAAAAAAUGUUUAAUGUUUUAUUGUGUUUUAUAUAUCUUGGAAGCUACCCAGAGUGGCUGGGGCAACCCAGUCAGAUGGGCAGUUAUCAGCCUGAUGGUGCCUCAGGUAGUUCCACUUGGAGAUCUCUUCUUACGAAGGUUUUGAUCUGAUGCACGGUUGCCCAUAGGAAUGCAUUGAAAAUCAAUUAAUGCGGUCCUUGGGAAACCUUCAGACAGGUCAGGGACAGUCUGUCCCGGACCUCUCUGAAAGCUGGGGAGCAUGGGCUUUCUUCCCACCCCCAGCAUUUUAAAAACCCGGGACAGCGGGGACUUCUCACUGUCAGCAUUAAAUGCUGGCAUUGGGCGGCAUUUAAAAAAUCACCCCGGGACAUGGCGGAGGACUUCUCCGCUGUCAGGAAUUAAAGCCCUGGGAAGGCAGGCAGGGGAACAAGCUUUGCCCCGCCCAGCCUUCAGAAGAGGUCUGGACCCUCUUCUGAAGGCGGCGGCCAAUGCUCCCCGCAGCCUAACCCUCGGGACGGGCGGGCAGGGGAGCAGGCUCGCCCCCGCCCGCCUCAGAAGGUCUUCCACCUCCCCAUGCCCGGCCGGGCACCGUUCAGAAGCCGGGAGGCGGUCUUCCCUCCCCCCCGCCCGGCCGGGCACCGUUCCCGAAGCCGGGCGCUUUGGCAGUGUUCCCUCCCCGCCCGGCCGGGCUGCGUUCCCGGCCGGGCGGCAGAGGGUCUUCCCCUCCCCACCGCCCGGCCGGGCACCGUUCGAAGCCCGGGUGGCCAGCAGUGUUCCCUCCCCCGCCCGGCCCGGGCACCGUUCCCGAAGCCGGGCGGCAGGUGUUCCCUCCCCGCCCGGCGGAGGAGCCUUCCGGCCCGGCGGCGGCGGGAAGGAGGUGUCCCCGCCCCGCCGCCAGGCGGAGGGAGGUCCGAGGACAGUGAGAGGGCACUGCUUCCCCGCUGGCUACGUUUCCUGAGGCUGUAAGGCCCUUAGAAGUCGUUUCUGGCGCCUCAAAAUGAAACCCUUUCGUCUAGCGGGUUUCCGUCUUCUGUCGUCUGCGAAUUACACUGUAGUAAAAUUAUCCUUAUGGAAUGGAAAGUCCCUGUUUUUAUCGGAGAAAUGUUGGAGGAUAUGUUGUCUUCCAUGCCUCUACAUCAUAGUUUUCAGAUUUUAAGUUCAAGGUUCCUGUUCCAAGUGCUGUUUAUUUGUUUUCAUGUUCAGAACAAGGUAUGGUGGGACCUGAGGUCAGCUCAGGUGCCCCUGCUGCCCCUCUUCGCCCUUCCCUCCCUUGCUUGUCCCACGCCAUCCUGCUCUGCAACCUCACUCUCACUCCUGCUCCUGCCAACCUAGCAGUUUGAAAGCACGUCAAAGUGCAAGUAGAUAAAUAGGUACCGCUCCGGCGGGAAGGUAAAUGGCGUUUCUGUGUGCUGCUCUGGUUUGCCAGAAGCGGCUUAGUCAUGCUGGUCACAUGACCCAGAAGCUGUACGCCGGCUUCCUCGGCCAGUAAAGCGAGAUGAGCGCCACAACCCCAGAGUCGGUCACGACUGGACCUAAUGGUCAGGGGUCCCUUUACCUUUACCUAACUGAAGCAGAUUAAAGUGCCCCAUCGCCCUAGCACAACAAAACCACUUAAUAACAACAGACUUUUGCAAGUUUGGAAAGUGUCAUGGAAAUGCAGUGAAAAUGGAUUCCAAGGGGUUUAGGCAGCAGCAGCUGAGCCUGAGUAAGGAAGGAGGCAGCAACUUGAAACGUAAGCUAGCAAAAUGGUGGUGAGCAGCCCUGCAAGUGGCUAAAGGCAGCAGCAAAUGUGUCAGGAUCACUUGUCUACCACCCUUUUGAUCUGCCACCUGAGGCAGGGAUCUCUACUUACCUAAUGGAAGAGCCGGUCCUGUAUAUCGUGAAAUAUUUAUUUUUGUGAUUUAUUUUUAAUAUUCUGUUAAGGUUUGGCUUGACUUGAGAGGAACACCUUGUUAUAUUAAUACAUCUUUAAAUAAUAAUAAUAAUAAUAAUAAUAAUAAUAAUAAUAAUAAUAAUUUAUUUAUACCCCGCCCAUCUGGCUGAGUUUCCCCAGCCACUCUGGGCGGCUCCCAAUCAAGUGUUAAAAACAGUACAUUCAUAUGUGCUUUAUUUCAGAUUAAGCAAACUGUCUGUUUGUUGAUGAGAUUGCCAUAUCUCUCAAGUUACAGUUUUGGGUGUGUUGUAUACCGAAAGGGCUGGGUGGGGUUGUACGUGUUUAAUUCUUGAUUUGAAAGUGUGAAAUUACAUGCAAUAGAUGGCUUCACAAGCUCAAAAUUUAAAAGCCUUUUUUACCCCCCUAAGAGGAUGUGGGUGGGAGGACAACUCCGGAAAGAUGAGGAAAUCUGUUAUUGACCUCUUUGAAGCAACACUAUUCUGAGAGUUCCCAACAUGGUUACUUUGGCAAACUAUGCCAUGAGACGACAUGUUAAUUGUGGGCACUCUGACUCUCAGAGGUGGGGGAACUGGCAAGAGAAGAAAGCGAAGUGCUUAAGGUAAGAGUUUGUAACAUUUCACAGAACCUCUGGGGGAAUACGGAACUCAAGAAUCAAUGGACCUCUGGUUGAAAUACCCUGCCCUAAACAAAGAACCAGAGAAUAGUGAAAGCAUUGCAGCCAUAGAUGGAGGUAUGGGACUUCAUUGUUUAGCAACAAGGUAAAGGUAAAGGGACCCAUGACCAUUAGGUCCAGUCGUGGCCGACUCUGGGGUUGCGGCACUCAUCUCGCUUUAUUGGCCGAGGGAGCCGGCGUACAGCUUCCGGGUCAUGUGGCCAGUAUGACUAAGCCGCUUCUGGCGAACCAGAGCAGCACACGGAAACGCCGUUUACCUUCCCGCCAGAGCAGUACCUAUUUAUCUACUUGCACUUUGACGUGCUUUCGAACUGCUAGGUUGGCAGGAGCAGGGACCGAGCAUCGGGAGCUCACCCCGUCGCGGGGAUUCGAACCGUCGACCUUCCAAUCGGCAAGUCCUUGCAUGAAAGUGGCCUCCCAAUUUUUCUCACAGGCCCAUAUAAGUUCAGCACAAACAGUUGGGCCUGGUGAGCAUUUAAGGUCCCCAACCCUAAUCUGUGGGUUGCCAUCCGAUUGGAUUUUAUUCUGAUCCUGAUCUGAUUUGAGGAUGUAUUUUAAUUGAUUGUCUGAUUUUAUGUUAAUGUAUUAUACAUUUGAUGUUAGCCACUCUGAGCCCGCCUUUGGCUGGGGAGGGUGGGAUAUAAAUAAAAUUUAUUAUUAUUAUUAUUAUUAUUAUUAUUAUUACUAGGCUCUGUGGUUUAACCCUCAGCGACACCCGCGUCCCAUAUUAUCACAGUACCUUUCUAUAAAGGAAACUCACCUGGUAAUGAGCAGAAAUGGCUUCAUUUUGACAGAGUUGGUAAACCUCUGUCUGGCAUGUACCAGUUCAAACUGUAGCGGGGCAGAAUCAGAUAAUUGAUUGUUCCUCCAGGCAAGCCCUCCCUGCACAUAGGAAACUAGCAAGUCAGGGAGAAGACAAGGCUAAAACUCGUUUCCACAAUACCUAGUUUUCAUGAUAGGUUAUGCAUUUUUUGACCACUUUCCCCAUCUGCAGUCUGAAGUGGUGUGGCCUUGAUACUGGUUAACCGCUGCAGUGAGACCUAAUUUUCAGACAAACUGGUGAUUCUUUCUCUCUUUUAAAACUGGAAUUUUCUGCUAGUUGUCCACUCAAUAUAUAAAAGCAUAUCGAGACAUUGACUUUGGUUUUGUCUUUUGAGGAUUCCAGAGUCUGCAAUUGUAAUGUGUUACAUUUGUUAAUACAAGAGUCACCCAGUAUCAUUGGCUACUGGACAAUGAAUGCUUUGCUUUAUAAACAAUUUCUCUCUUUCUCUUUAAGUUUACACAUCAGAAAUUUGAAACAGAAGAACUGAACUCUGCUGAGAGGCUUGCUUUGUCUUUUAUCUUCUGAAUCAUUGGUCAAGCUCACAAGGGUGUUCCAAAGUCUUUUUAAAAGCUAAUUGACUUAUAAGUGGUUUUCUUUAAACAUAAAACCUGUCGAGCUCUUGAUUCUUAGGAACCCGGGAGGAUAGAUUUGGCCUGGCUUCCUGUGCGCCAGGGGUCUCUGAACCCUAGGAGAAUGCUUUGCAAAAUGAAUUGGGCCAUUCACAAAGAGGGUAUAUUUUAAAACCCAAUUGCCUUAAAAAGCUUCAUUUUGUAUUUUUAGCUCUUCCCUGAGCACAAGCACUCCUUGGGGACACUGCCAGAAGCCUGGACUGCAUUCAUCCUUUGAUUUCCUUAAACCUUUGUGUAUUUACGCUUAAUAACCAACAUUAGUGACAUUAAAAUUCUACUCACUGCAAGCAGCAAAUAAUCCAUUCUUGCCUCCUUUUUCCUUUGAUAACUGACCUUUAAUAUAGAUCCAAGCUUAAACUCUCCAAACAGUCAUUUGCACACUCUCGCAGUAACAUUCAUCACUAUUUUCAGAUAAUUGCCCAGACACAUCAGUCAAGAGUUGGAUCCUAUAUGAAAGAAAAGCAGAGAUCCAGAGUGAAAGAUUAGGGCUUGGGCAAUUUUUAAGUGAAUUUCAACUAAGGACAAACAUCUCCCUGAUAUUUUAUUGAGGUCAGUACUUAGAUGGAUAUAAUUAAAGGUAUAUAACUACUAGCGCAGCACUGACUAUUUGCCAUUUUUAAUUUUGGGGUCAACACUAGCACUUUCUCCCCGAACUAUCUAGAAUGUGAGAAUGCUCACCUUUAUUUUCAAUCCUGUUCAGUGCUGUUGUUUUCCCAAACUACUGCUGCUGCAACUGGUUUUUCCUUUGGCUGACACUCCUUUUUGCUUCUUGGAUUAGUCACAUGUGAUAGUUCCACACAAUUGGAGAUUGUGUUUUAAUACUAUGUGUGUGAUGAUGCUACAGACAGCAAGUGAAGAUUAUUGAGAGUGGUGGCAAGCGAGGGCAAUUCUGGUGUUUGGGGAACCAUUUUUACAAGGCAUGCCAAAAAGUUCCUAAGAAAAGGAGAGAGCUUUUGACAUUGCCAAAACCACAUGUGGGGGAGAGAAAUUGCUUUCAACUCAGUGCCAACAUUCUAGAACAACACAAAGAACUCAUAACCCACCUCCUCUCAGCAACCAGAAACAUCAUAGCCAGACACUGGAGAGACCUGUCAGGAGUAGGCAUGGACCAAUGGUACCAAAUAGUAUGGGAAACAGCCUUACUAGAAAAAUUAACCAAUAAACUGAAACUGACACGGGGAUAAAUAGAAGAAGAUGCCUUCACCCUGGUAUGGCUCCCCUUUAUCAUAUACACAGCCCAACAAGACAAUGACAAGAAUCCACCAACAACAUAUGAAUCAAUAUGGCUAACCUGAUUCAAAAACACCCACCCACCCCACUCACACACGAAAACAAAGUUCAACACAGCCAAUCACAAACAAACAACCACACCCUAGGCCAACCCCAACCUCUCUCACCACCAAAGGAACACAAGCGAAUAGCAAAGAGAACCCGCACAAACAACGCUGACACAAAACCCCACAUAUAUUAAGUAAAAUAGAAACAUUGCCACCUGACCCCACCCCCACUCACCUUUCCCCCCUCCACCUCUUCCCCCCUUUUCUUCCUAAUGUAUCCCUAAUGUCUCAACAAAUGAAACUGACCUGUGGAAAAUGUAACUUUUCCAUAGAAAAAAGAGACAUUGCACAUACCUUUGUCAACCAAGAAAACUUUAAUAAUAAUAAAUAAAUAAAUAAAUAAAACAACACCUAAGCAAGAAGCCAGCCUAACAUAAAUUCUUCCAAUAUUUAUUUCAUUUUAUUUGUUUCUUCAUUCUAUCCUAAAUGUUUAGGAUGGGUGAUAAUACAGAAGUACGUAGUUCUGGUGACAUCUCUCAAGAUAAUCCAUAAAAAAGAACCUGGAUUUGCAAUAUUAAGUGUGCCGUAAGAAUGUCCACUGGUCUAAAGAGUUAUCCGUUCUUGGUUGGACUGGGGAGUUACUUCCUUGCUCAGCCAUGAAAUUACCCAAUGGCCUUUGGUAAGUCACUGUCUAACCUACCUCCCAGGUAUGCCGUGAAGACUAAAUGCAAAAAAAAACAUUGGAUAUUCUCGAUCUGGAGUUCCCUAGGAAGAAUGGUGGAAGUUUAAAAAAAGUAAAUAAAAUGCUUCUUUGUAGCUGAUUAGCAAGCAGUUCACCUCACUGAGUCUGCCUGCAUUUCAGGAAAACAUUUGUGUGCUUCCAUUUUUGGAACUGAAAGCAGUUGAUUACAUGGAUAUUUGUUACCGCCACAUAUUACUGCAAUACAUAGAGAGGGGUAAAUUUUGGCCUUCUUUAUGAUGUUAAAAUUCUAUUUACGGUACUCAAUACAAACUAAUGAUUAAAGGAAAUACCAGUAAGCGAUCAAUUGUUGGCAUUCCAACGUGCUCGAUAGAUUACUUAUGACCAAUCUGCUAAUUGCAAUGUGUGACUCAAGCCGCUCACUUAUAAUAUGUAGCAGUAAUGUAGUUCUUUAAACAAACAUGUUUAGCAUUAUGGAUUCCCUGUUAAGUGGGAUGUUUUCUUGGGAACUGAAGUAGUUUCUCUCAUAUAUAUAUCUUUUAUAUAAUAAGGCAACAGUCAGUGCAAGGCCAGUUCCUUCCCUAGCAGAAAUGGAGACCGCAGUGCAACAGAGAGUUACUUGUCAGGCCUCGAUAAAAUGAAUGGCAACUGUAUUAUAGCACAGUGGAUGGAAUCACACCUUUUACACUGCCCCCAAGCACUGGUGGAGGAAGAGGAGUGAGGGGGGAGAGCACCACCCCUGGCAGUGCGAUCCCCAGGUUGCCAUCGCGGCUGCCCCCCUGCCCAUGCUGGGCACCCCGCCCCCAGGAUGCACGCCAGCCCCGCCACCGCCUGCUCUCCACCCCCCACCCCCCCGGUGCCAGAGCAUGAAGCUCCACCACUACCCCCAAGAGCUCACCGAAAAGCCCAUCUUGGUUUCUAAAAUAUAGCAUGACUUUUUGAGGUACGUACAGUGGUACCUCAUGUUACAUACGCUUCAGGUUACAUACGCUUCAGGUUACAGACUCCGCUAACCCAGAAAUAGUGGUUCAGGUUAAGAACUUUGCUUCAGGAUGAGAACAGAAAUUGUGCUCUGGCGACGCAGCGGCAGCAGCAGGAGGCCCCAUUAGCUAAAGUGGUGCUUCAGGUUAAGAACAGUUUCAGGUUAAGUACGGACCUCCGGAACAAAUUAAGUACUUAACCCGAGGUACCACUAUAUUAGAAUCCAGCCUGACCUUGGCUGUAGUCACACCCCCAACAUACCCUCAUGUUCCUCCCACCAGUAGAUUUUGGUGUUAUGAGUGUGUGCGCACAAGGAUAGCACCUUUGCAGAGAGAGAGAGAGAGAGAGAGAGAGAGAGAGAGAGAGAGAGAGAGAGAGGCUUCUACCCACACAGUUUGGUUUCCUAGAAAGCUUACAAGAUGAUGCAUAUGUCAGGAAGUGAAACCACAUGGGCAGAUGUUUUCGUGCCUAUCCAAAGCAGAGACUGCCACAACCAUGUCAAGAAAUGUACAAACGAAGUGGGUUUCAGACAGCCAGGCUGAGUCACAUCAGUUUCAUUUUAACAAAAGGAAAAAUGUAUUCUGGAAGAGUUUCCUGCAUACCAAUCAACAGAAGUUUCUAGUCCAUUAAAAUGUUUUGUUUGCUUAUAAGGCUUAUGUGCCUCCUUUCAGGACAAAGCACACUCGAAGUGGAUUAGGAAAUAUCAUUUGCUUCAAAUGCACAGAAGGAACAUUUGGCUUCCAAUAAGUUUUAUAGAACAAGCCACUUGCAAUGCUUCUAGUCCAGGCCUGCAGUAGCUUCCUUUUAUCAAUCCACCUGUCACUCAUAAUGGCUGGUCAAUUCAGCAAAGUUGUCCCCACAGGCCAUAUGCCUUCCUCCGCCCUCAUUCUACUUCCUGUCAUGGAUAAUCUGAUGUCUUGGUCCAUGCUUUUCUAGUUCUAAUAGUGGGCAGGUUUUGGAAUUUGAACAGUGCUCCUUUUCAGGUAUAACUGCCUUGACUUUCUGUUCCCACCAACCAUCCACAUCUGCAUGAUCGACAGUAAUUGAGCAGAUCACAGAGUUGGGUCUAUUUGCUCAACGUUGCCUUUUUGUGCCCACAUUCAUUAUCAUCAUCAUAAUAAAUUUUUAUUUAUAUCCCGCCCUCCCCAGCUGAGUCCGGGCUCAGGGAGGCUAACAACAAUAAAAUAAUACAAUCAUUUCAUUAAAAAAUUACUUCAAAUCAAAUUGAUGGCAACCAUUGGGCUAGAGUUCUGUGAAGAUUGCCAAAGAAGGGAGUCAGGCUGUGCCAUGGCCAAAGGCUUGGCGGAACAGCUCUGUCUUGCAGGCCCUGCGGAAAGAUGUCAAGUCCCGCAGGGCCCUAAUCUCUUGUGGCAGAGCGUUCCACCAGAUCGGAGCCGCAGCCGAAAAAGCCCUGGCUCUGGUUGAGGCCAGCCUAACCUCUCUGUGGCCACAUUCAUAAUGUGAAAGGAAAAGGAAAGAACUGUCUCUCCCCACCCCCCGCUCUCUCUCUCCUGGUUUGGCAAAAGCUUCUUCCGCCUGGCAGUCUGGAGGAGAGUCUUCAGCAUCACAGGGACCAGGCUUAGCCUCAUGUAAACAGAUUUCCAUGCAAUAGAUCUCCCAAGCUUCCUCACCUCCGGGUGAAAGUGACCCUGUACAGACUGCUCAGAGCUUCCUAUACCUUGGAGGAAGAUGAGCUCUAAAAAAAUAAAAAGCAGUGUCUUUGAUAUGUUGUGCGUUCAGGAUCACUGGCAGGUUCAAUAUUAGAGACAGGAAAAAGCACUGAACAGACAAGACAGAUAGUUGUUUGGUUUGACAGCACUCCAUCAUGCACUCCAGCACAGUCUGCAAAAAGGGGGGGCGGGCAAGUCCACAGGAGAAAAAGAGCCUGCCAUUUCAAAAAGAAGGAAAGAAGAAUCUCUUUCUAGUUCUUCAUUUUUCAUACAAGAAAGACAAAACGGAGGUCUUUUAAACAUAAAGGCUUGUUUCUCCCCUCCCAGCUUAACCACCUUGGCUUGCCAUUUGUAUUUUCCUGUCCGUGCCGCAGAAACCUUAAUAAACCUUAUGCUCCUAAGGUGGUGAGGUUGCAGCUGUUACAUUUCCAUCAUUCAAUCCUUUUUGGCUAGUUUCAGUCACUGUGAUUCUUUUGAAAAAUAAAUAAAGCAAAGCAAAGCAGCUGCUUUGUACUUUAUAUGUGAGACCCCUAUAUAAAUAAAAGCAAAACAUCCAUGUACCAUCCCUCAGAUUGUUAAAGAGAAACAGCAAUCCUAGCUUUGCCAAUUCAACUGGGGUUGGGUGAAGAGGCUGGCCUCUCAGCUACGUGGGGGCCAACAGGCAAGGCUAAGUCCUUUCCGGACAUUUUUACUGAAUAUACUAUGAAUGCAGGGAGCCAUCACAUUGGCAGUCUGUGUCCUGGAGGGACGCGGGUGGCGCUGUGGGUUAAACCACAGAGCCUAGGACUUGCUGAUCAGAAGGUCGGCAGUUCGAAUCCCCGUGACGGGGUGAGCUCCUGUUGCUCGGUCCCCGCUCCUGCCAACCUAGCAGUUCAAAAGCACGUCAAAGUGCAAGUAGAUAAAUAGGUACCGCUCUGGCGGGAAGGUAAAUGGCAUUUCCGUGCGCUGCUCUGUUUCGCCAGAAGCGGCUUAGUCAUCCUGGCCACAUGACCCGGAAGCUGUACGCUGGCUCCCACGGCCAAUAAAGCGAGAUGAGCGCCGUAACCCCAGAGUCAUUCACAACUGGACCUAACAGUCAGGGUCCCUUUACCUUUACCUUUACUAUGAAUGCAGGGAGCCAUCACAUUGGCAGUAUACAUUCAUUGCACUGUCUGAAAAGACCCCUGCACAUACAGUUGCAUGGAUGUCUACACAACUCCUCUCCUAGCGUUUGGAAACUCUGGAAAAACAGCAUUCCUCAGUGUGUACAGUUGUUUGUGUUGGCUUAGGUCUAUGAACCUCCCAAAAGGCAGCAGGGUGGCAUGGUUGAGCUGUAGGAAUAGAAGGUGAAGAAGGAACAGUUAAAUAAUAUUAAAUGAUUAUUUGUAAUGUGUUUAGCCCACCUUUCCACCCACACAGAAUGAUAAUUCACUAUCUUUUUUUAAAAACUGCUAAACAAAAAUCAAAAGUGGGAGGCAUACCAACUAGCAGAAACAGAAAGAAUCAGUUCAUACUAGGACAAACUUUAAUUAAAGCUUUUUCAGGAUUUAAUUAAAGAUUUUUCGGUACAUCUUAUCUUGUCUUCUUCCGCACUGCUGAAGUCCAGCCAGUAGAUUCAUCGCUAGUCUUUCUCCAUUGAUGUUCCAUCAACCAUCCUUGCUAUUGCAUUGCUUCAAGCUCUCAAACGACAACAACAAAACAGGUUGCUGAUCAGGCUCUUGCAGACAGGGGAGGAAGUGUAGGCUAGACCAUUUCGACCACCUAGAUCUUUGCUCCAUUUCAGAAGUCAGCUAGGUUCUCCGCGGGACCACCAGAUGUGGCAAAGAGAAAGUCCCUCAGAAUUAAAUUUAAAUGCAAAUGUAUUUGUAAUGGAUUUAGGGGUUGCUUGUGCGUAAGUUGCCGCCACUCCUGGCGAGGUUACCUGGUUAAACCCUUUCUGACUGAACAGCCUCCAGCAUCGUGACUGUCUCAGUCGCUGGCAGAAUCCGUCAGUGGGCGUUUCUUAAACUUCUUCCAGCACAAAAGUUCCUUGACGCCUAGACUCCGCCUAGACUCCCUGCGCGGAAGCCUUCUGCGCAGGGAGGGUGUGGGCAGCGGAGGACCCGUACUCUCUCCGCUGGUCUCUGGCGAGGAGUCUUGGAGCCUCCUCUCUUGGAUUCCCCCAUCUGCCCCCCUUCUCUACUGGUGUUACGCUGAUUUCCUUCCCCAGCGGACGGGCUGCCUCUCUCCCUACUGGGACCCUCUCCGCCAUCCCUCUGGAGCCUUCCCUCCGCCUCUAGCUCCGAUGGCAGUUCCCUGACAGUAUUGAUCCAUAAAAGUUGCUUUAAACAGUUUCAUUGUAUUAUUUAAAAAAAAAAUCUUCCUUGAUCCCACACUCUUCCCUUCCAGUAUUGCCACAACAAUUUUGUCCUACUCCAAAAUUGACCCCCUGCUUUAGAGGAAAAAAAUGCACAUUGUCUCUAGUUGAGUCCUUUAUCCAUCCAGCCACACACAUGUACGCACACAACAAAAGAGAACAUCAAAGGAGCAGGACAGUCGGGUAGAAGGAAAAUAAAAUAAGGAAGAGAGAGAAAAAAGAAAUGAACACAACAGUGUCACCCAUGUCCCAAGUGGGAAUGGCCAGGAAAGGCCACAGGGCAAUGGUGUAGGAGAAGGAAGAGGGUGAAAGCCCAAAGAGCCGGCCACAAUCGCUGAAGUAGAUUAUAUUCUCCUUUGGGCAUCUUUCGUAUUGACAUUUUCCAACAUGACUUUUGAAGUUCACUGUUUCGGUUUGGUAUUGGAUUUUCAUCUCCGUCUUGUAUUGGAUUUCAUCUCUGUCUUUUUGGAAUUCCAGAGUGGUGCUGUUAUCGUUCAGCUGAUAUUUCAUACAUUUUUAUAUAUCGUGUUGCCUUUGAGUUACCCAUUUUUGUGUUGGCUUUUCCUCUAAGAUGGGGCAUAUUCUAACAGGAUAUUUUGCUAUGGUGGGGCAUGUGGGUGUGUCACACAUACCUGUUUCUGUUUUUCAUAAACUUCCUUAAGCUCCAUCUUAUAAGAAAGGUGGGGUAUAAGUCUAACUAACUAACUAAUAAAUAAAUAUCCUCCUUCCCCUGUUUCUUAUGGAAGUGUUGGGAUGCAACUCUACUUGCAAUGGGAAAGAGUAGAUAGAGAGAGGAACCUCCAAGUUUCCCAGACUGCCCUUUCUGUGCUAACCUUCCCUAAGGUAAGAUUUAUACUCUUGCUGACCUCAUUUCCUGCUCCUCCUUCAUCCUUACCUUGGGGACAUGUUUGUAUGUCUGCUGCUGAGAGCACAGAACUUUGUCUCUCCAACGUAGUUAGAACUAGGAUCUGUUCUGUCAAGCAUGUAUAGUGGUACCUCGGGUUACAGAGGCUUCAGGUUACAAACUCCGCUAACCCGGAAAUAGUACCUUGGGUUAAGAACUUUACUUCAGGAUGAGAACAGAAAUCGUGCAGUGGCAGCGGGAGGCCCCAUUAGCUAAAGUGGUACCUCAGGUUAAGAACAGAUUCAGGUUAAGAACGGACCUCCAGAACGAAUUAAGUUCUUAACCCAAGGUACCACUGUAUUUCUUUUAAUAAACUUAGCCUUUGGCUGAUUGACAUCUGGUGGCCUUUUAAAUGUGUUGUGGAAGGGGGAAUUAUUGACUUGUUUUUGUUCUUAUUAUGUACAUAUUUUGUUUUUAUGCUGUAAUUUUAUGUUGUGAACCACCCUAAGAUCUAUGGAUAUAGAGCGGUAUACAAUUAUUAUUAUUAUUAUUAUUAUUAUUAUUAUUAUUAUUAUUAUUAUUUCCCCCUAAACUCAAUGUGAUUACAUCCAGAAAUAGAGUGUGCUUCUCCAGCAGGAAUUCAGUGUUCGGUUCAAACUUCUGCUGAUGCAGUUAAACUCCAAAUGCCAUCCUUUUCUGUUGCAGAUGAAAGAAGAAUACCAUCUCAUUAUUCCAGAGAAGGUCCUGCCCUGCUGCAUGGACACAAAAGCAUGGAUUAAUGAGGGCACAAUCCUCCAAUAAGUUCUCCUGCACAAACCCAAACCGCUGAAAUGAAUGGGCCAUUGGUGCAGCUACCAGUCAUUUCAACGGGCCUUGGAGCCAGUUUCUGUCAUGUGAAAAAUACAUUUUUCUUCCUCUGUUUUUGUACACCUCAGCAAUUUAAUCCCUCUUUCCUCCUUCUGAUUUACAAAUUUAACAGACAGCAACAAGGGCUGGGGGAGGGGAACAUAUUAGAGAAUUACACAUUUGAAAAGAAGAGAGAAGUCCCUCAUCAAAGAUGAGUGCUACAAUAAGGCUUGGAUAAUGUUAGACAAAUGACUAUAGCAUUUAAGAGACAAUAAAACAAUAGACUUUAA